rnacentral:ncRNA from 1 species
UAUAUAAAGAGUUUGAUCCUGGCUCCGAAUGAAUGCGUUUGAUUGAUUUUACACAUGCAAGUUAUUAAUUAAUUUUUUUAAUUAAUAGCGUACGGGUGAGUAAUAUAUAAAAAUAAUUUUUUAGAAUAAGAUAGUUUAUACAAGAUUAAGUAAUAAUUUUUUUUAAGUUUCUAAAUUAGCUUACAAUCUUUAGUUGAUUUUUGAGAAUGAUCAACCACACUGGAAUUGAAAAAUGGUUCAGACUAAUAAUAGGCAGCAGUGAAGAAUUUUGGACAAUGAGCGAAAGCUUGAUCCAGUUAAUCAAUUAUGUGAAGAAGAUUUAUUGUAAAACAUUAACAGAUAAAAUUUAUGAUUUUAUUUGAAAAAUUAGUUCUGGCUAAUUUCGUGCCAGCAGCCGCGGUAAAACGAGAAGAACAAGUGUUAUUCGAAAUGAUUGGGCGUAAAGAAUUAUUAGAUAGUAAAUUUAUGAUCAAUUGUUUUAUUAAAAAAUUAAACAUUUAACUAUUAAACAAAUUUACUUGAGUUCAAAUAAAAGAUUUUAGAAUUUUAUGUGAAAUAGUAAAAUAUGUUGAUAUAUAAAAGAAUUUCUAUGGUAAACACAAGAAUCUAUUUUGAUAACUGACAUUUUAUUAAUUAAAGUAUAGGUAGCAAAAGGGAUUAGAUACCCCUGUAGUCUAUACCCUGAACUAUAAAUGUUUUUAUAAAUGUUUUUAUAAAUUACUUAACAGAAAACAUUUCGCCUGGGAACUACGAUCGCAAGAUUAAAACUCAAAGGAAUUGACGGGAAUUCAAACAAGCAGUGGAGCAUGUGGUUUAAUUCGACAAUACUCGCGAAAUCUUACCAAUUCUUGAAUUUAUUCAGGUGUUGCAUGGCUGUCGUCAGUCCGUGCUUUGAAGUGUUUGGUUUAUUCCAAUAAACGGACGUAACUUUUUUAUACUCAGAUUGUAUAGUUAUUUAAAGAUAUUUUAUAAAAAUAAAAACAACGACAAGUCCUCAUGACCCUUAUGAAUUGGGCUACUUUCAUGUGCUACAAUACUCUUAAAUCAAAUAAAAAAACGAAUGUAUAUUAAAUUAAUUAAAAAAGAGUAAUUUAGAUUGUUUUCUGAAACUCGAAAACAUUAAAUUGAAAUUGCUAGUAAUCAGCUAAUAAAAAAGUAGCGGUGAAUAAGUUCUUGAAUUUUGUACAUACCGCCCGUCACGCUAUGGAAAUUAAAUUUAUUUGAAAAUCAAAUUUAGAAUAAAACGAAGACUAGAGUGAAGUCGUAACAAGGUAGCCGUAGGGGAACCUGUGGCUGGAAUAAAAUAUUA